CAGAAACUUUGUAAGAGGAAUCAAGAAAUUCGGCAAAAAUAAAUAAUUCCUCAUACUUCAGGUGCUAAAUCAAUUGCAAGAAGAAGGGCUGAAUUGACGGAAGAGACGGGAAAAGAAGUUAGUAGGGUUCAAAUGUGGGACAUCACUCACAAGAAAAUAGAUGGAAGUUAUGUUAAUGAAAAAGCUAAAGAAAUAGCGG